GCGAACGCUGGCGGCAGGCUUAACACAUGCAAGUCGAGCGGGCGUAGCAAUACGUCAGCGGCAGACGGGUGAGUAACGCGUGGGGACGUACCUUUUGGUUCGGAACAACACAGGGAAACUUGUGCUAAUACCGGAUAAGCCCUUACGGGGAAAGAUUUAUCGCCGAAAGAUCGGCCCGCGUCUGAUUAGCUAGUUGGUGAGGUAACGGCUCACCAAGGCGACGAUCAGUAGCUGGUCUGAGAGGAUGAUCAGCCACAUUGGGACUGAGACACGGCCCAAACUCCUACGGGAGGCAGCAGUGGGGAAUAUUGGACAAUGGGGGCAACCCUGAUCCAGCCAUGCCGCGUGAGUGAUGAAGGCCCUAGGGUUGUAAAGCUCUUUUGUGCGGGAAGAUAAUGACGGUACCGCAAGAAUAAGCCCCGGCUAACUUCGUG
rnacentral:rRNA from 1 species